CAGCCGGAUAAUCGCGCUUAAGAAAAAUUAAGUGAGGAAAGUCCGUGCAUUCAAGGACAGACCGCCGGAGAAACUCCGGACAGCGUGAGCUGGUGGAAAGUGCCACAGAAAUGAAACGCGCAAGCCGGUGUUCACGGGUCGGCUUGCUGAAGAGCAAGACGAGCAAGUGAACACAACGAAACCGCCGUUGUUCCUGGAGCUUUAGCGAAAGGAACGAAGCAAUCUCUGAUUGCCCAGGCGGAAAAAGCGAAAGCCGGUGUUCAUCCGGUGUCGGCACACGGUAGUGUGGCGAGCAGGGACGAACAUUACGCGACAGACUGCCGAUGGAUUUUAUAUCACAGGCGAUGGUGCAACGGUGAGUUAAGAGCUUCACCAGCAGUGCUGAGAAGCACUGGCUAGGUAAACCCCGGUCGAAUGCAAGAUUAACUCGAAGGUUAUAAAGGUGUCCGCCAACUUCGGAAAUAUCGCUUGAGAUUGCAGGUAACUGCAAUACCAGACAGAUGAUUAUCUUAAAACAGAACACGGCUUAUGAGCUGCUUUA
rnacentral:RNase_P_RNA from 1 species